rnacentral:tRNA from 2 species
GAAGGGGUUGCCGAGUCGGUCAAAGGCGCCGGGCUUAAGAUCCGGUCGGAAUUCGUUCGAGGGUUCGAAUCCCUCCCCCUUCA